GGUAGAGAGACUUCCCUACAUGUCUUCAGGCAUCUGUCACUUCUGGGGACCAUCAGACUUGGCGGGAGAGACACAGUCCUUGACACGGGAGUCUGAAGACUCAGGGAACACGCGUUCACUGCUGUUGUUCUGAAAACCAGAUUUCAACAGCCAAGCCUUUACCCAAGCCCCUGGGACCACCUGCGUGAAACUCCAUCGAAGCACAAACGUGCAGGAAGGCAUAGAUUUGAGGUUCUAAUUCAUGUUUUUUCGAAUAAAUGUAAAAAACAUAAGACUGAAAUUAAAAAUGCUUGUCUGGGCAACACCAAGGUCACCCAGGUUGCCUUGAAUGGACCCUCAUCACACUUGGGAACAAAGAAAGUAAACCCGAUGGCACUGUGGCCAGAGCCAAAUAAAUGUCAUCUUUCUCAACACAGUAAAUUGACCAGGACUUUAAAGAGCUAGUUCUUCAU
ensembl:lncRNA